rnacentral:rRNA from 1 species
CUAUGCGCCUUGCCAGCCCGCUCAGUCAGAGUUUGAUCCUGGCUCAGGACGAACGCUGGCGGCGUGCCUAAUACAUGCAAGUCGAGCGGAAGUUGAAGAGCUUGCUCUUCAACUUUAGCGGCGGACGGGUGAGUAACACGUGGGCAACCUGCCCUGCAGAUCGGGAUAACUCCGGGAAACCGGUGCUAAUACCGAAUAGUUUUGGGUCCCUCCUGGGACCCAACGGAAAGACGGUUUCGGCUGUCACUGCAGGAUGGGCCCGCGGCGCAUUAGCUAGUUGGUGGGGUAACGGCCCACCAAGGCCACGAUGCGUAGCCGACCUGAGAGGGUGAUCGGCCACACUGGGAUUGAGACAAGGCCCAG